rnacentral:rRNA from 1 species
CCUACGGGAGGCAGCAGUGGGGAAUUUUCCGCAAUGGGCGAAAGCCUGACGGAGCAAUACCGCGUGAGGGACGAAGGCUUUUGGGUCGUAAACCUCUUUUCUCAGGGAAGAUAGUGACGGUACCUGAGGAAUAAGCAUCGGCUAACUCUGUGCCAGCAGCCGCGGUAAUACAGAGGAUGCAAGCGUUAUCCGGAAUGAUUGGGCGUAAAGCGUCCGCAGGUGGUUUUAUAAGUCUGUUGUUAAAGCGUUAGGCUCAACCUAAUAAGGGCAAUGGAAACUAUUGAACUAGAGUACGUUCGGGGCAGAGGGAAUUCCCAGUGUAGCGGUGAAAUGCGUAGAGAUUGGGAAGAGCACCGGUGGCGAAAGCGCUCUGCUAGGCCUGUACUGACACUGAGGGACGAAAGCUAGGGGAGCGAAUGGGAUUAGAUACCCCAGUAGUCCUAGCCGUAAACGAUGGAUACUAGGCGUUGCCCGUAUCGACCCGGGCAUUGUCGUAGCUAACGCGUUAAGUAUCCCGCCUGGGGAAUACGCACGCAGNGUGAACUACAAGAAGUUAGUACGGACGUGAGACGNGCCGAACGGACGACGACGAGGGAGUAGG